AUGGCCGACGCCCAGCCGAUUUCCGGCGGCCUGGCCGUCGACCCGCCCGGAAAGGUGAAGAAGAAGAAGGCCAAGGCGCCAAGGAAGCCGCGGUCGGAGUGCACGCCGGAGGAGAUCGCCAAGUUGGACAAGGAAUCGGCGAAGAGGAGGGGCCGGAGAGCGGUCGUCAAGGUCAAUGCCGCGGCGGCCAAGCUCGCCGCCGAGCGCGAUGCGAUGGAGGCCGCGCGGCACAAGGCCGCGGUCGACGAGAAGGAGGACAUCGUCAACAAAGCGCACGCCCUCCUCAUGCUUGGCAUGUGUCGUCCGGCCGGUUUCCCUGCAGCGGCCGUUGGCCCGGCGGGCACAGGCUCGUCGGUCGCCCGGCCUCCGCACUGCCAGUCGCCGACGUCGCGGACCACGCCCAUGUCGCCCGGCUUUCCCCCACCAAGGCACGAAGGCCAGACCCGUUUCUCGGGGCCGCCGGACGUUGGCGUGAUCGCGCCGUCCACACCGCGCCCCUCGGCCGUCAUCGACCUCAACGUCACGCCUGGGUCCAGCAGCGGCGGCCAGCCGUCCGCCGAGCUGCAAAGAAAGCAAGCACGGGCACCGUUCACGGGCACCAUGCCGUCCCCCCGCGUCUUGUUCGACGGAAUGCCAACACCAACGCCACCGGUUGACGACCCCUUCUGCAACCAGUUCAUGGAGGAUGUGAUCUACGAGGGUGGGCACGGCCGUGCCUACGACCCGGACGAGACCCAAAGUCAGGAUGGCCGUGCCCAGUACGUUCCCGAUGAAGAGGCCGACGACCGUGCUGACUACGACCAUGGUGACUCGUGGCAUGAGGACGAUGACAUCUAUUGCGAAGGUGAUGGUGAUGAAGAAGAAAGCAAUGACAUUGAUAUUGGUGGCGAGCCAUUGUUCAUCGACGAGCUCACCCAAAGAGCGGAAGCACAAAAGAGGUGGAAGAGCAUUCGCACGGGUUCAUAUACACAAGAUGAGGACAAGUUGAUUUGCCAAUGUUUGAUGGAGAUUAGCCAAGAUCCGAAGACCGGCGCGCAACAAAAGGGCCUUGUUUUUUGGACGAGAGUCCACAAAACUUUUCAUGAAAGGAAGAUGUUUGAGCCCUACCAAAUUACAAGCAACCGUGGCAUCACCUCGAUUCAAAAGAGGUGGUUGUUCAUCCAACAAGAGUUUAACAAGUAUUGCGCCGCAUUUGAGAGCGUUGAAGCACGGCCCGUGAGUGGUCUCGGCGUUGGGGACAUGGCAUUUCAAUCUUUGGAAGCAUUCAAGGCCCGGCACAAUGACAAGCCAUUCACUCUUACGCAUUGUUGGACGAUCAUCACCAGUUGCCCCAAGUUCAAGGAUCAAUACCGUGAACUUCAAAAAAAGAGAGGCAAGAAGAUGGCCAAGUACGCCGGAGGUGGAGAUGGCGAGGCGUUGAAGAGGCCGAGGGGCAAGACCAACUCCAAUGUGGACGACAUAAGUGAUGCCUCAUCCAUGGACUUGCACGACACUUUGCAUGGCAUGAUGUCUCAAAAGGAUAUGAGGGACGAGAAGAAGCGGCAAAGCAAGGACGAGAAAAUGAAGCAAUACCUAGAGCUUCAAAGGAAGAAGCUUGAGAUGGAGGAGGCGGCCAAGAGGAGGAAGAUCGACAUGGAAGAGGCAUCCCGGCAAAGGCAGCUCGACAUCGAGGCGGCCAAUGUCUCGGCCAGGCAGAGGCAGCUCGACAUCGAGGCCACCAAUGCCGCAACCAAAGCAAGGGAGGUGGCCCUUGCGAUCAUGAGCGUGGACUUGUCCAAGAUGAGCGACAAGACGAGGGCCUGGUUCGAGGCCAGGCAGAAGGAGAUGCUCGACGCCGACGGCCUGAACUAG
rnacentral:rRNA from 1 species